ensembl:lncRNA
AACAACGGGUUUUUGUUGUUGUUGUUGUUGUUUUUGUUUUGUUUUGUUUUGUUUUUUUGCAUCAGUGGAGAUUGGUACUAAGUGGUUGCAUAGCUGUGACUAGGGCUAUGACACUACUAAAUCAAAUGCCAGCUUAUUACAAGACAUAAGGAAUCCAUUAAAGUGGCUCAAGCAUGAAUUUCAGCAUAGAAUUGUGGCUCUGCAGAUGGUGAAGAAUCCUAAGAAUGCAUCAGCAGGUAGCUAUAGCACAGAUGAGAGAAUGGGAGUGGACAGUCUAUGAACAGGAGCAAGAUUGAAGAGUCGCUAACUGCAGCAUUGAUAGGACAUGAGGAAGGCCAUAGGUUUUAAAUCAGAAGAUAACAGGCGAAAGCUAAUGACACUAGAAGUGAGAUUAACUGAGAUUAAUUUCUCCAACUUCCGUUUUGCUACCUUCACUUCAAUUGUUAACAAGCAAUUUCCAUCAGCUUUAGUGUGAAAUGGAUCAGCCAAUAUGAACGCAUAUUGUGAAUGACUCACCCUGUAUCAACUGUCUAUACAUGAGUAAAGCCACAUGUCCCCACACUGCUGAUAGUCUUUAUUAUGGGCUUUCUUUAAGACAUCGGAGAAAGGGCCAAGAGAACCGGGUUUACUUAUCAUGGACACGAAAAGAUGGAUGGCAACUGUGCAGAAGAUAAAGCCAGGCUUUUCUCAGAGGUGCAUUAAGAGAGAACGAUGCAACAGAUGCAACUGGAAAUUCUGCUGGAAAUACCUGGAUUAGCACUGGAAAAUGUUGUCUGUAGAACCUCCAGUGUAGGGGAUUUUCAAAACUCAGCUGAACAAGGUUGUGAACAACCUGAUCUACAGUUGGAGUUCAUCCUGCUUUGAGCAGGAGGUUGGACUUGGUCUUGGUGGCUUUCAGAGGUCCCAGAGGGAUAUUUAUAAAUAAACAGCAGCAGAAUAACUAACAGAUUAGAAAGAAGAGCUUUUGUUACAGACAACAUCGCUGCAAAUAAUAUUAACUUCACACACUAAUAUAGUGCAAGUUACUUUAAACAAGUAUGACAGUGUCAGACAUACAGGCCCAUUAAAACAUUGGAACUCUUGCUAGUACCAUUUGCUAAUAAUCUUGUACACUGGACUUAUUUCAACUCAUUAGAAGCUUUAUAAGCUCAUUUUUAUAAUAUUUAUAACUAUACUUCAUGGAAAAAAAAAUGGACUACACUUCUGGAAGAAAAAGAUAAUCUGAGAAUUAAUUAAAAAAUAAAUCUUUUUAACUAUUAAAAAAAAAAAAGAAGAAGUUUAACAAAAGCUAAAGAAUGUCUUAAAGAUAAACCUUGAUCAAUCCUUCACUUCAACUGUGUUAGGUCUCUUGACAAUAAUUUGCUUUAGUUCUGAUGAGAGGUCCAUCUAAAAGUGUGUGGGCAAGCUGAGUAGUUUAGAGACACUUCAGAUAUGUUCAGAAAUGUUCAUAACCAAAGCACAGGCUUUCAGGAUACUGUUCUGCCCUGGUAUCUCUGUUUAUUCAUUACAAGUGUGAGUAUGUUACCGAUGAAAUAUAACUAGUUCUGUGCAACACCUUAAACCACUUUUUUUCAUCUUUGCUCAAAUUGUGUCCUCCUGAAAUUUUGAUACAGCGACUUUCUUCUCAUGUGGUAAAAGUUGUAUCAUAUAAUAUUAUCAAUUGCAUUCCCAAAUUGUAACAAAAUGAAUUCUGGAUGUAUUACACGUCCAAUAAAAAG